AUUGAACGCUGGCGGCAGGCCUAACACAUGCAAGUCGAGCGGAUGAAGGGAGCUUGCUCCUGGAUUCAGCGGCGGACGGGUGAGUAAUGCCUAGGAAUCUGCCUGGUAGUGGGGGAUAACGUCCGGAAACGGGCGCUAAUACCGCAUACGUCCUGAGGGAGAAAGUGAGGGAUCUUCGGACCUCACGCUAUCAGAUGAGCCUAGGUCGGAUUAGCUAGUUGGUGGGGUAAGGGCCUACCAAGGCGACGAUCCGUAACUGGUCUGAGAGGAUGAUCAGUCACACUGGAACUGAGACACGGUCCAGACUCCUACGGGAGGCAGCAGUGGGGAAUAUUGGACAAUGGGCGAAAGCCUGAUCCAGCCAUGCCGCGUGUGUGAAGAAGGUCUUCGGAUUGUAAAGCACUUUAAGUUGGGAGGAAGGGCAGUAAGUUAAUACCUUGCUGUUUUGACGUUACCAACAGAAUAAGCACCGGCUAACUUCGUG
rnacentral:rRNA from 1 species